ACGGGAGGCAGCAGUGGGGAAUAUUGCACAAUGGGGGAAACCCUGAUGCAGUGACGCCGCGUGAGUGAAGAAGUAUUUCGGUAUGUAAAGCUCUAUCAGCAGGAAAGAAAAUGACGGUACCUGACUAAGAAGCCCCGGCUAACUACGUGCCAGCAGCCGCGGUAAUACGUAGGGGGCAAGCGUUAUCCGGAUUUACUGGGUGUAAAGGGAGCGUAGACGGUAAAGCAAGUCUGAAGUGAAAGGCAGGGGCUCAACCCCAGGACUGCUUUGGAAACUGUUAAACUAGAGUGCAGGAGAGGUAAGUGGAAUUCCUAGUGUAGCGGUGAAAUGCGUAGAUAUUAGGAGGAACACCAGUGGCGAAGGCGGCUUACUGGACUGUAACUGACGUUGAGGCUCGAAAGCGUGGGGAGUAAACAGGAUUAGAUACCCUGGUA
rnacentral:rRNA from 1 species